rnacentral:lncRNA from 10 species
UUUGCAAGUUUCACAAUAAAAGAUCACAAGGCAAGCAAGAACAUAAGAACUUUUCCAAUGUCUAAAGGGCAAUGGUUUCUCCCUUUACACCCGCUGUGAAGUUCAGUGUUUUUCUAUUCAUGAUUGGACAUGUCCUAGACAUCACUUAGAGAGUUUUACUCCUGUUGCCAAGGCUGGAGUACAGUGGCACGAUCUCGGCUCACUGCAACCUCCGCCUCCCAGGUUCAAGCAUGUACCUCUGCCUCCCACAUGGCUGGGAAUACAGGUACCCGCCACCACGCCCAGCUAAUUUUUUGUAUUUUUAGUAGAGACAGGGUUUCAACAUGUUGGCCAGGCUGGUCUCGAUCACCUGACCUCAGGUGAUCCACCCGCUUCGGCCUACCAAAGUGCUGAGAUUACAGACAUGAGCCACUGCGCCCGGCAGACAACCACUUCUUAUAACAGAAAAGUUCAGCAAAUUUGGAAAACAAUUUCAAAUCAAUUUGUAUGUAAAAGAAAAUGAAUGAUUCAUUUUUAUGUCUGACAACUCCUUUAAGGGCUGUGCCAUGAAAUAACCAUUGAGCCUCUCCAAAAUACAAAAUCUCUCCCAAACUUAUAAAAGGGACUGUUUGGAUUCAGACUAGUCUUUUAAAAACAGUCACUUUUCAUAAGUUUGGGAGAAAUUUGGAUUACGUGAGGUUGCCUAACAAUGUGAAUGCACUGAAUGUCACUAAACUAGGCACUUAAAAAUCAUUGAAAUGAUAAAGUUUAAGCAUGAGAUCAUCAAAAUCAGUUGUGUUGACCUCCUGAUUGUGGUGGCUGUGAUUAUGCUAUUAGGAGACUCUCCUUGUUUGUAGGAAAUAUACAUUAAAAUAUUGAGAGAUGAUGGGACAACCUGUUAGCAACUUACUCUGUAAUAAUUCUGUCAUUUAAACAAAAGUUAUUCGAACUACUUGUAACAAUUCUGUAAGUCUGAGAGUAUUUUCAAAGAAAAAACUAAAAAUCAAUAUCAAACUGAACCCCUUGAUUUAAAAAAAAGGUAAAAUUU